rnacentral:rRNA from 1 species
UACGGAGGGUGCAAGCGUUAUCCGGAAUCACUGGGUUUAAAGGGUGCGUAGGCGUCUUGAUAAGUCAGGGGUGAAAGCUUCCCGCUCAACGGGAGAACUGCCUUUGAUACUGUCAGGCUCGAAUUGGGUUGAGGCAGGCGGAAUGUGGCAUGUAGCGGUGAAAUGCUUAGAUAUGCCAUAGAACACCGAUUGCGAAGGCAGCCUGCCAAGCCUUGAUUGACACUGAGGCACGAAAGCGUGGGGAGCGAACAGG